GCCGGUGUUAAUGGCAAUGAGGAUCCACCCGUUCCCAUUCCGAACACGGAAGUUAAGCUCAUUCACGUCGAAGAUACUUGGCUGGAGACGGCCCGGGAAAAUAGAUCGAUGCCGGCA
rnacentral:rRNA from 1 species